UACGGAGGGGACUAGCGUUGUUCGGAAUUACUGGGCGUAAAGCGCGCGCAGGCGGUCUUCCAAGUCAGUGGUGAAAGCCCGGAGCUCAACUCCGGAACUGCCAUUGAAACUGUAAGACUUGAGGACGAGAGAGGUGAGUGGAAUUCCCAGUGUAGAGGUGAAAUUCGUAGAUAUUGGGAAGAACACCAGUGGCGAAGGCGGCUCACUGGCUCGUAUCUGACGCUCAGGCGCGACAGCGUGGGGAUCAAACAGG
rnacentral:rRNA from 1 species